rnacentral:lncRNA from 1 species
GGCAGAGUUGGGCCUAAAUGAGCACCAUCAAAAUGAAGUCAUUAAUUACAUGCGUUUCGCUCGUUCAAAAAGAGGCUUGAGACUUAAAACGGUAGAUUCCUGCUUUCAAGACCUCAAGGAAAGCAGGCUGGUGGAGGAGACUUUCACCAUCGAUGAGGUUUCAGAAGUCCUCAAUGGGCUGCAGGCUGUGGUACACAGUGAGGUGGAGUCUGAGCUCAUCAAUACAGCUCACACCAAUGUCCUGCUCCUCCGGCAGCUGUUCUCACAAGCCGAGAAGUGGUACCUAAAGCUACAGACAGACGUCUCUGAACUUGAGAACAGAGAAUUAUUAGAACAAGUUGCUGAGUUUGAAAAGGCAGAAUUUGCAUCUUCAAAUAAAAAGUCCAGUCUCAAUACCUUGUAAACCCUUCAUUCAGCUGAGACAGAGCACCUACUUCACGGUGAUCAGACCUGUUGUUAUAUCCCGACUCUGCUUCUUAACCGUGUACACAGACAGGUUACCCAAGACAGCAGCCCAUCAUAGAUAUCACAAAGCCUAAACUUGUUCCAAUUAACGAAGGUGGAACAACUGAACUCCUAAACAAGGAAAUUUUAAGACUUCAACAAGAAAAUGAGAAACUAAAGUCAAGGCUGAAGACCAUUGAAACACAGGCUGUAAAUGCGCUGGAUGAGAAGUCAAAAUUGGAACGAGUACUUCAAGAUUUACAGCUUGAUCAAGGAAAUCAACAGGAUUUUAUCAAGGCCCAAGACUUGGAUGACUUGGAAAA